rnacentral:rRNA from 1 species
ACGGGUGAGUAACGCGUGGGAAUCUACCGUGCCCUGUGGAAUAGCUCCGGGAAACUGGAAUUAAUACCGCAUACGCCCUACGGGGGAAAGAUUUAUCGGGGUAUGAUGAGCCCGCGUUGGAUUAGCUAGUUGGUGGGGUAAAGGCCUACCAAGGCGACGAUCCAUAGCUGGUCUGAGAGGAUGAUCAGCCACAUUGGGACUGAGACACGGCCCAAACUCCUACGGGAGGCAGCAGUGGGGAAUAUUGGACAAUGGGCGCAAGCCUGAUCCAGCCAUGCCGCGUGAGUGAUGAAGGCCUUAGGGUUGUAAAGCUCUUUCACCGGAGAAGAUAAUGACGGUAUCCGGAGAAGAAGCCCCGGCUAACUUCGUGCCAGCAGCCGCGGUAAUACGAAGGGGGCUAGCGUUGUUCGGAAUUACUGGGCGUAAAGCGCACGUAGGCGGAUAUUUAAGUCAGGGGUGAAAUCCCAGAGCUCAACUCUGGAACUGCCUUUGAUACUGGGUAUCUUGAGUAUGGAAGAGGUAAGUGGAAUUCCGAGUGUAGAGGUGGAAUUCGUAGA